GCGGGCGCAGCUCAAUGGUAGAGCUGCAGCCUUCCAAGCUUAUGAGGAGGGUUCGAUUCCCUUUGCCCGCU
rnacentral:tRNA from 10 species